rnacentral:rRNA from 1 species
AAACCAACGUGGAUUCCCCUAGUAGCGGCGAGCGAAGCGGGAAGAGCUCAACUUUGUAAUCUCCUUGCUGCGCAAGGCGAGUUGUAGUCUCACGAAGCGCGGCCCGUGCCGGACCUCGUCAAAGCUGCAUGAUGGCAGCGCCACAGAGGGUGCAAGCCCCGUUGAUGACGAGGAUCGCCGUGCGCGAUGUGGUCCGCUUUCUACGAGUCGAGUUGUUUGGGAAUGCAGCUCCAAGUGGGUGGUAAAUUCCAUCUAAGGCUAAAUAACGGCGAGAGACCGAUAGCGAACAAGUACCGUGAGGGAAAGAUGAAAAGCACUUUGGAAAGAGGAUGAAACAAUACGUGAAAUUGCUUUAUUGGAAAUGCUUGAAGUCAGGUCACUGGCGAGCGGGGUUCACCUCGUCCUCGGACGGGGGCAUUUCCCGCUCUGCUUGCGCCAGCAUCGGUUUCGGCGGCCGGACAUGGGCCCGAGAAAGGUAGCUUCCGUUCGCGGUCGUGUUAUAGUCUCGGGCAGGUGCGGCGGCUGGGACCGGGGACCGCAGCGCGCCGCAAGGCACUGCUCUCGGGCAGCCACGCGCUCAGGAUGCUGGUGGAAUGGCUUUAAGCGAC